AAAUUAUUUAAUUUUGUAACGUUAUUUGUAACGUUAUGUGAACGUCUUCGCCCUUUAGCAGACCUUCCCUCUUCGUCGACGUGACGACUUCUUAUUCCCUUUGUUUUUCCCCAUCUUCUCUAUUGUAAUUGGGGCAGUCUUGCUCUCGGUGUGAAACCAGCCGGACUCAACAGUUUCUGGCGACAUGUGUUUGUGUGCUAGUAUUAGUGGUCUCCGCAUGGCCAGGUCCGAACGGUUGUGGUAAUUCGACCGUUCGUGGUGCGCUGCGGUAAUGCAGGCACAGGUGUGUUCAUGGUGCGCUGAGGUAAUGCAGGCUCCGGUGUGUUCGUGGUGCGCUGCGGUUAUGCAGGCACCGGUGUAAACGCGAGACGCGUGAUCAAGACUAACCUGUAUUUGUCUGCUAAAGUCAGGAAAUAGACCGAGCCCGUUUUCAAAGACACCCACCUAAGCUGUUCCUUACCCUCUUUUCUUAACAAUAUAAUAUGGUCCGAUUACUACACAGCGGCUGAAGAGUACUUAUUUUCACCAUUUAAUUGUUUCUGUACACUGUACAGUACUUUAAAAUUAAAGAUUCGAACCUUGGAUCUUUUGAUUUGCUGUCUUAUACUCUACCGCUACGCCACAUCAUUUAUUAAUGAACGAACUAAUUUAGAUAAAAAUGGUGAUAAGAUAGAUAAAGGCAAAAAAAGAUGUCUGGACUAACAUUAACCAACCCCCC